rnacentral:rRNA from 1 species
CGGGUCGCAGCAGUGGGGAAUUUUGGACAAUGGGCGAAAGCCUGAUCCAGCAAUGCCGCGUGCAGGAAGAAGGCCUUCGGGUUGUAAACUGCUUUUGUCAGGGAAGAAAUCCCUUGGGAUAAUACCCCGGGGGGAUGACGGUACCUGAAGAAUAAGCACCGGCUAACUACGUGCCAGCAGCCGCGGUAAUACGUAGGGUGCGAGCGUUAAUCGGAAUUACUGGGCGUAAAGCGUGCGCAGGCGGCUUUGCAAGACAGAUGUGAAAUCCCCGGGCUCAACCUGGGAACUGCAUUUGUGACUGCAAGGCUAGAGUACGGUAGAGGGGGAUGGAAUUCCGCGUGUAGCAGUGAAAUGCGUAGAUAUGCGGAGGAACACCAAUGGCGAAGGCAAUCCCCUGGACCUGUACUGACGCUCAUGCACGAAAGCGUGGGGAGCAAACAGGAUUAGAUACCCCAGU